rnacentral:rRNA from 1 species
GAUGAACGCUAGCGACAGGCCUAACACAUGCAAGUCGAGGGGCAGCACGAAGUAAGCUUGCUUACUUUGGUGGCGACCGGCGCACGGGUGCGUAACAGGUGUGCAAUGUGUCCAUAAUCGGGGAAUAGCCCAGCGAAAGUUGGAUUAAUGCUCCAUGUGAGCCGAGGAGGCAUCUCUUUGGUUUGAAACGCAAGGAUUAUGGGUGAGCACGCUUCUGAUUAGGUAGUUGGUGAGGUAACGGCUCACCAAGCCGACGAUCAGUAGGGGUUCUGAGAGGAAGGUCCCCCACAUUGGAACUUAGACACGGUCCAAACUCCUACGGGAGGCAGCAGUGAGGAAUAUUGGUCAAUGGACGGAAGUCUGAACCAGCCAAGUCGCGUGAAGGAUGAAGGUUCUAUGGGUUGUAAACUUCUUUUGUCUGAGGGUAAAACAGCGGACGUGUCCGUUCUUGCAAGUAUCAGACGAAUAAGCAUCGGCUAACUCCGUGCCAGCCGCCGCCGUAACAC